rnacentral:rRNA from 1 species
UACGAAGGGGGCUAGCGUUGCUCGGAAUUACUGGGCGUAAAGCGCACGUAGGCGGCUUUCUAAGUCGGGGGUGAAAUCCUGGAGCUCAACUCCAGAACUGCCUUUGAUACUGGGAAGCUCGAGUCCGGAAGAGGUGAGUGGAACUCCGAGUGUAGAGGUGAAAUUCGUAGAUAUUCGGAAGAACACCAGUGGCGAAGGCGGCUCACUGGUCCGGUACUGACGCUGAGGUGCGAAAGCGUGGGGAGCAAACAGG